rnacentral:rRNA from 1 species
UAAUACGUAGGCAGCGAGCGUUGUUCGGAGUUACUGGGCGUAAAGAGUGCGUAGGCGGUGACCUAAGUCUGGUGUGAAAUCUCCCGGCUCAACUGGGAGGGUGCGCCGGAAACUGGGUUGCUUGAGUGUGGGAGAGGCUAGCGGAAUUCCUGGUGUAGCGGUGAAAUGCGUAGAGAUCAGGAGGAACACCUGCGGUGUAGACGGCUGGCUGGACCACGACUGACGCUGAGGCACGAAAGCGUGGGGAGCAAACAGGAUUAGAUACCCUGGUAGUCCACGCCCUAAACGAUGCAUACUUGGUGUGGGUGAUUCAUUUCAUCCGUGCCGGAGCUAACGCGUUAAGUAUGCCGCCUGGGGAGUACGGUCGCAAGGCUG